GGGUGAGUAACGCGUAUCCAACCUGCCCAUCACUUGGGGAUAACCUUGCGAAAGUAAGACUAAUACCCAAUGAUAUCUCUAGAAGACAUCUGAAGGAGAUUAAAGAUUUAUCGGUGAUGGAUGGGGAUGCGUCUGAUUAGCUUGUUGGCGGGGUAACGGCCCACCAAGGCGACGAUCAGUAGGGGUUCUGAGAGGAAGGUCCCCCACAUUGGAACUGAGACACGGUCCAAACUCCUACGGGAGGCAGCAGUGAGGAAUAUUGGUCAAUGGGCGAGAGCUUGAACCAGCCAAGUAGCGUGCAGGAUGACGGCCCUAUGGGUUGCAAACUGCUUUUAUAAGGGAAUAAAGUGAGCCUCGUGAGGCUUUUUGCAUGUACCUUAUGAAUAAGGACCGGCUAAUUCCGUGCCAGCAGCCGCGGUAAUACGGAAGGUCCGGGCGUUAUCCGGAUUUAUUGGGUUUAAAGGGAGCGUAGGCCGGAGAUUAAGCGUGUUGUGAAAUGUAGAUGCUCAACAUCUGCACUGCAGCGCGAACUGGUUUCCUUGAGUACGCACAAAGUGGGCGGAAUUCGUGGUGUAGCGGUGAAAUGCUUAGAUAUCACGAAGAACUCCGAUUGCGAAGGCAGCUCACUGGAGCGCAACUGACGCUGAAGCUCGAAAGUGCGGGUAUCGAACAGGAUUAGAUACCCUGGUAGUCCGCACGGUAAACGAUGGAUGCCCGCUGUUGGUCUGAA
rnacentral:rRNA from 1 species